rnacentral:lncRNA from 1 species
UAAACACAUGAGACAAAGUAGUGAUGCCGGCAUACUCCUGUUAGAAGUCGGCUUAUGAGUGCCGGUUUAUUUACGUAUGCCGGCCCAGCUUCUGCCUAAUUGGUUAUUAUGUGUCUUCAUGACCCUAUCCGGAGUCAUUCCCCCGACAGCGGCCCAGCCAUCUAGCAGCAAUACUACAGUUCUCUUCAGGAUAAGCACCUCAUUACAAUUCCCUUGUUUUUAAUUUGUUCUUCAGGUUUUGGAUGCGCUGUUGGGCACUGUAAUAGCCAGUUUAGAAAUGUCCAGAUGAAGUUUACAUUACUGGACAAUUCAAAUGUUUUGGCUUGCUAUAUAGUGGUAUAACUGAUAAGAAUGUUCUAGACCAAAUUAACGUUGUACGUAUGUAUAUUUUUUUGAAGCACUAUUCUACAAUAGCUGUUUUCAUUUCAGUACUGCAAUCUCUUUUGUUUUGUUUUUCUUUUCGGUUUUGCUAGGUCUCAGUCGAUUGAGAAUUGAAUUUCUCAGUCAACGAGCCGAACCAAUCGAUCGAUCUUCCCCUAGCUCGGGGCUUUCCGAUGGAUUUUCUCGUGGGCUUCAGGUGAAUAGGUUGCUCGUGGCCUUGUGGGUUUUUGUAUGGUUAGGAUUAAGACUUUUGCGUUGGUCUGAGUAUGGGUUUUUUUAUGUGUGUAUCUGCAGUUUUUAGAAUCAUGCACAAACUUUCACCUGCAAAUUUAAGAAUCGCGCAUAAAUUUUCACCUGGAAUUUUUUUAGAAUCGCAUAAAGUUUCAUCUUUUAUUUUUUUAGAAUCGCGCAUAAACUUUCACCUUCUAUUUUUUUUGGAAAACUACAUGCAAAUUUUAGAAUGGCGCGUAAACUUUCACCUGCAAAUUUUAGAAUCUCACAUAAAUUUUCACCUGCAAUUUUUAGAAUCGCGCAUAAAAUUUUACCUGCAAUUUCUGGAAUCGCGCAUAAAAUUUCACCUACAAUUUUUAGAAUCGCACAUAAAUUUUCACCUGCAAUUUUAAAAUCGUGCAUAAAGUUUUACCUGCAAUUUUUAAAAUUUGAUUGUUAUUAUUUUGUUGCCUUUUUCCUUUCUCCGUGGCGUUGGUUGUGUUGUGCAAGUGUGCUUUCGUCAGGAUCUGUAAUUUUUCAAUUUUUAAUUUUUUUAGCACCGUUUUAAAAUUUGUAGAGCAUAUAAGUGAGGACUGGAUUUAUGUUACUAUAACGACGAAUGCUUUUUAUUGUGAUCUCAAACUCCGAAGAAACACACACCCGCGUGCGCAGGCACGCAUGUACCAAUUGGGACGUCACAUACACACAAGGGAAAUGAGAAGAGAAGAUCAAUCAUUAUCUAGUGUGCUCUAUUGUGUGCAAGCAGAAGCAGUACAAAGGUAAAAAAGAAAACCGCUCAAAUCGAUCGAAGUUGACUAGCUCCCUAGACACACCCCUUUUCAUUUCUAAUCUUGUCAUUGGUUCUUGCCAGGUUGUGUGCCAUAAUCUUGGCAUUGAUUUGGCCCAUUGAUGCAAAUAAGCCUCACUACCGUACAUUUUAGGGUUUGCCUUAAAGUUAGUAUUUGGAGAAUCAUGUCCAUUGAUAAAUAGGGUUACACAUGCACAAUAUUACCAAGAUGGUGAUAAGUCGAACUGACUAGUGCUUCACCUCUAGCGAGCUGUUCGUUCAGAUCAUCUUGAUUGAUUCUUUGGUUCAACAAAUCAAAGAUCUCAGCCUCUCUUUUUUUCAAUUAUUAGGGU